UACGGAGGGGGCUAGCGUUGUUCGGAAUUACUGGGCGUAAAGCGCACGUAGGCGGCUUUGUAAGUUAGAGGUGAAAGCCCGGGGCUCAACUCCGGAAUUGCCUUUAAGACUGCAUCGCUAGAAUUGUGGAGAGGUAAGUGGAAUUCCUGGUGUAGCGGUGAAAUGCGCAGAUAUCAGGAGGAACACCAAUGGCGAAGGCAGCUCACUGGGACGGUAUUGACGCUGAGGCACGAAAGCGUGGGGAUCAAACAGG
rnacentral:rRNA from 1 species